rnacentral:misc_RNA from 1 species
GAACGCAUCUUGCGCCCUUUGGUAUUCCGAAGGGCAUGCCUGUUUGAGUGUCAUGAAAACAUCAUCCCACCGGGUUUCCGGUGACGAUGGACUUGGGCGUUGCCGACCGGCUCGCCUCAAAAGUGUUAGUGGUUCUGGUCUGAAUCUGGCGUAAUAAGUUUCGCUGGCCGACGUCCGAGAUCCGCUCAUAACCCGUCUCUGACAUCUUUUGCUCUGACCUCAAAUCAGGUAGGACUACCCGCUGAACUUAAG